rnacentral:rRNA from 1 species
AUUGAACGCUGGCGGCAUGCUUUACACAUGCAAGUCGAACGGCAGCGCGGGCUUCGGCCUGGCGGCGAGUGGCGAACGGGUGAGUAAUGCAUCGGAACGUGCCCAGUAGUGGGGGAUAGCCCGGCGAAAGCCGGAUUAAUACCGCAUACGACCUGAGGGUGAAAGCGGGGGACCGAAAGGCCUCGCGCUAUUGGAGCGGCCGAUGUCGGAUUAGCUAGUUGGUGGGGUAAAGGCUUACCAAGGCGACGAUCCGUAGCUGGUCUGAGAGGACGACCAGCCACACUGGGACUGAGACACGGCCCAGACUCCUACGGGAGGCAGCAGUGGGGAAUUUUGGACAAUGGGGGCAACCCUGAUCCAGCCAUGCCGCGUGCGGGAAGAAGGCCUUCGGGUUGUAGACCGCUUUUGUUCGGGAAGAAAUCCUCUGGGCUAAUACCCCGGGGGGAUGACGGUACCGGAAGAAUAAGCACCGGCUAACUACGUG